rnacentral:rRNA from 1 species
UUCCAGGAAAAGCCUCUAAGCUUCAGAUUGUAAGGAAUCGUACCCCAAACCGACACAGGUGGUCGGGUAGAGAAUACCAAGGCGCUUGAGAGAACUCGGGUGAAGGAACUAGGCAAAAUGGUACCGUAACUUCGGGAGAAGGUACGCUCUUGAUGGUGAAGUCCCUUGCGGAUGGAGCUGACGAGAGUCGCAGAUACCAGGUGGCUGCAACUGUUUAUUAAAAACACAGCACUGUGCAAAAUCGUAAGAUGACGUAUACGGUGUGACGCCUGCCCGGUGCCGGAAGGUUAAUUGAUGGGGUUAGACUUCGGUCGAAGCUCUUGAUCGAAGCCCCGGUAAACGGCGGCCGUAACUAUAACGGUCCUAAGGUAGCGAAAUUCCUUGUCGGGUAAGUUCCGACCUGCACGAAUGGCGUAAUGAUGGCCACGCUGUCUCCACCCGAGACUCAGUGAAAUUGAAAUCGCUGUGAAGAUGCAGUGUACCCGCGGCUAGACGGAAAGACCCCGUGAACCUUUACUACAGCUUGGCACUGAACAUUGACCCUACAUGUGUAGGAUAGGUGGGAGGCUUUGAAGCACGUACGCCAGUAUGUGUGGAGCCGUCCUUGAAAUACCACCCUUGUAGUGUUGAUGUUCUAACGUCGACCCCUAAUCGGGGUUGCGGACAGUGCCUGGUGGGUAGUUUGACUGGGGCGGUCUCCUCCCAAAGAGUAACGGAGGAGCACGAAGGUGGGCUAAUCACGGUUGGACAUCGUGAGGUUAGUGCAAUGGCAUAAGCCCGCUUGACUGCGAGAAUGACAAUUCGAGCAGGUGCGAAAGCAGGUCAUAGUGAUCCGGUGGUUCUGAAUGGAAGGGCCAUCGCUCAACGGAUAAAAGGUACUCCGGGGAUAACAGGCUGAUACCGCCCAAGAGUUCAUAUCGACGGCGGUGUUUGGCACCUCGAUGUCGGCUCAUCACAUCCUGGGGCUGAAGUCGGUCCCAAGGGUAUGGCUGUUCGCCAUUUAAAGUGGUACGCGAGCUGGGUUUAGAACGUCGUGAGACAGUUCGGUCCCUAUCUGCCGUGGGCGUUGGAAGAUUGAAGGGGGCUGCUCCUAGUACGAGAGGACCGGAGUGGACGAACCUCUGGUGUUCGGGUUGUGUCGCCAGACGCAUUGCCCGGUAGCUAAGUUCGGAAUCGAUAACCGCUGAAAGCAUCUAAGCGGGAAGCGAGCCCUGAGAUGAGUCUUCCCUGAUACUUUAAGUAUCCUAAAGGGUUGUCGGAGACUACGACGUUGAUAGGUCAGGUGUGUAAGUGCUGUGAGGCAUUGAGCUAACUGAUACUAAUUGCCCGUGAGGCUUAACCAUACAACACCCAAGGGGUUU